AGAAAAAUAAGCUAAAUAAAGCUAAUGGGUUCAUACCUCAUCAAUGGAAAAUUCCUUUUUCUA
rnacentral:tRNA from 1 species